CCUACGGGUGGCUGCAGUGGGGAAUAUUGCACAAUGGGCGCAAGCCUGAUGCAGCCAUGCCGCGUGUGUGAAGAAGGCCUUCGGGUUGUAAAGCACUUUCAGCGGGGAGGAAGGCGUUAAGGUUAAUAACCUUGGCGAUUGACGUUACCCGCAGAAGAAGCACCGGCUAACUCCGUGCCAGCAGCCGCGGUAAUACGGAGGGUGCAAGCGUUAAUCGGAAUUACUGGGCGUAAAGCGCACGCAGGCGGUCUGUCAAGUCGGAUGCGAAAUCCCCGGGCUCAACCUGGGAACUGCAUUCGAAACUGGCAGGCUAGAGUCUUGUAGAGGGGGGUAGAAUUCCAGGUGUAGCGGUGAAAUGCGUAGAGAUCUGGAGGAAUACCGGUGGCGAAGGCGGCCCCCUGGACAAAGACUGACGCUCAGGUGCGAAAGCGUGGGGAGCAAACAGGAUUAGAUACCCGGGUAGUC
rnacentral:rRNA from 1 species